GCGGAUAUGGCGGAACUGGCAGACGCGCAGGUUUCAGGUUCCUGUGGGCAACCGUGUGGGUUCGAAUCCCUUUAUCCGCACCA
rnacentral:tRNA from 1 species